UGGCUCAGCUGGUAGAGCAUGGUGUUUGCAAUGCCAGGGUUGUGGGUUUGAUUCCCAC
rnacentral:tRNA from 1 species